ACGAAGCGGUGACGUGGAGCAAACCUCAGAAAGCCAAUCUCAGUUCGGAUUGUAGGCUGCAACUCGCCUACAUGAAGUUGGAAUCGCUAGUAAUCGCGAAUCAGAAUGUCGCGGUGAAUACGUUCCCGGGUCUUGUACACACCGCCCGUCACACCACGAGAGUUUACAACACCCGAAGUCAGUGGCCUAACCGCAAGGAGGGAGCUGCCUUAGGUGGGGUAGAUGAUUGGGGUGAAGUCGUAACAAGGUAGC
rnacentral:rRNA from 1 species